GAAGGGGAUGGAGACUUAUGUUAAGAGCUCUGCUUGCUGGGAGCCGGGGCCCUUUGCAACAGCCAUGUCUGAGUUCUGUUGGCUGCUGGCCCCAUGAAAUAGCAAGAAGGUGCUGCUGGCCUGAGAAGCUGGGGCACAGGACUGGGGCUCUGGAUGUGCAGCUUUGAGCUCCUAUUUACACCAUGAUCCACCAGCACGCUGCUGCUGGUUGUGUGACCCUGCUAUGUCCUGCUGGGUACCACGCACACGUUUUCCUGCUUAUCCUCAUCUCUUCAGGGAUGCACUACAGCUGAACUAACUGUCCUACAGGCACACCGAAGAGGAAUAAUGGCUAUUAUCCAGAAUCAUUUUGCAUGCGUCUACAUAGUACAUCGCUUAACGAGGUGGGUCCCAGAAACAGCAUAACUGCAUUAACAUUGCGCUUCACCUCUGCAAACAUACCCUCCUCCUCAGCAGAGCUAAUUAGCCUAAAUAGAAGGCUGCAGUGAUGUGUUUAUACUGUUUUCAGGACUGGAGAGGUCUGACUAUACUUUGUAAUGCAAACCUAGCCAUCUUUUCCUCAACUCUCUUGCUUUUUAAAGUAAAUUUUCUCGUCUGCAGAUCUAUGUACUUGUUGUUACCAGUGUCUUCCUCUCUUUCUCCAGUUGGCAAUUUUUAAUACGGGCUGGAGAGGAUAUUUAUGGGUAAUGUCAGUAGGAACAAAGUGGUUUUGAAAGUGUCUAUGUUAAUGCUCCAUGUAUCGAUGCUUGUAAUAGAUGUAAUUGCUCAGCCUUGCUUCUAUAGCUCAAGAGCCUAUACUAUACUAUAUUCCUAUACUAUUGAAAUAGCUGUACUUAAACUUAGUUUGCACAGAUGUUCUUUUCUGGUAAGAUCAUAAGGCACUACAGGUCAUGUGGUGGUUUCUUUCUCUUUUUUUUUCCACUGAAGACACUGAUGAUAUUGUAUUUGAGCCUUAUCUGCAGACUUUCCCCUGACGACUUUUUUUUCCCCCAUUCUUACAGAAAACCAUGCAGCUGUUUUAUGAACAGGAUGAGAUCUUUCCCUACUGUAGAGUAGUAACUUACGUAGAAUAGUCUACAAAUCCUAUGUAUGAUGUUUGUCCAUAUUACUUGCUAUUCAUCUUGUUCUUCCCAUGCUGCCUGUAACUAGGAGUUUCACUUGGAGAUUCCUUUGUCUUUUUCUACACUGAGCACUGUUAUUUACCCAGGCUUUGUGUUUUAAGGACACAAUUAAUGAGUCUUGUUAAGAUAGGCCUGUUAUUGUUGGGUUUUUGUGGAACCUUGUCUUGUUUGUGAAUCCAUUUCUCUAACUGUACUCUGUUUUCCUUGGUUUAUUUCUCUUCAUAUCCAGAUUCUGUAAGGCAGCUCAGCUGCAGCUGCCACAUCUGUUCUCUGAAUAAAAUAGCCUCAAAG
rnacentral:lncRNA from 7 species